AAAACAGAGACAGGAGCCUCUCUAGUACUUGUUGGCCAGCCAGUCUAGCCAAACUGGUGAGCUCUGGGUUAAGUAAGAGACCCCUAUCUUAAAAUAAAACUCCUCUCUCUCUCUCUCUCUCUCUCUCUCUCUCUCUCUCUCUCCCUCUUUCUAUAGAAUGUAACCCCAGUACUUAAGCCAGAUGGCACAGGAGUUCAAGGCCAGCCUGGACUACAUGAGACUAUCUUAAUCUAUCCCUGCAAGGGGUUGCCCCCCAAAAUGCUCUCCAGAUGUUAUCAAUCCACUCUGGUGAAAGACGUUAGUGGAACUCAGUGGCUCUCAGAUUGUUUUCCUGAGACCAGUAGAGGCACGUCGUUUGAAUGUCACGUAAUAAGAAUUCUUAGGUCCUAACCUAGGAUUGCUAAAUUGGUCUGUCUAGGGAGUGGAUCCCAGGUAUCUCUGUUUUAGUGAGCCCUCUAGGGAAUCUGGUGCUUAUAACAUCUUGAGAAGAACCAGGCUAAGCCCACUGUACUGAACCUGCUCCUUGUUUCCCAGCUUCCUUAAAUCAGCAGGUAGCCCGGUGAGUUUUAGCCAAUGAGGUUUAUGAGAGGUCAUGUAGGAAAGGGGGGGCAGUGGCAAAACUUUCCCAUUCUUGAUACAAAGGAGCAGAGACCGGAGAUGGCUGACCAGGCACUUCUGCUUCUUUCUGAGACUCUUGAAGGCAUAUGAACCCCAGAAACAGCUGUCACUUGAAGACCUCGAAACAACAGCUGAGGAAAGCCUGAGAGGAUACAGAGGUUUUGACUGUUAUCUGCAGUGAAGGACAGCCGGACUUCAGAAAACAGAACUCUAACUGUAUUAGUCAAUAUUCACGGAUUUUGUUUUACUUACAGUUCCUGCCUCCAGUUCCUGCCUUGGCUUCCCCUGAAGAUGGACUGUCAACCUAUAAGCCACAGAAUACCCUUCCCUUCUCAAAGUUUGUUUUGGUCAGUGUUUUAUCACAGCAAAAGAAAUCACACUAGAACAAUCACCUUCCAAUCGUGGUAUUGUAAACUUUACACCAAUGGCUCCCAAACCCAACUGCAUAUUUGUGUGAUGAGGCCUAUGUAAAGCAACGCCAGAACCCCACCUCAACUGUACUGAAUUGGAAUCUCCCAGACUCAGGUUAUGAAGCACGCCAGAGUCACAUGGUGAUUAAUUUUGUCCUCAGCUGACCCCAUGCCACCCUCUGCUUGAGACAAAGGUGGAAAAUUAAGAAAGUGCUCCCUUUCAUGGCUUUGUGAGGGUAGAGUCUGAUAGCUGCAUGCCCUGAGAGUGUUCCCUUAAUUUCACAUCCUAAACACCUCAUUUGGCCUCAUCCAGUCUCUACUCCAAUUCAAAUAAUGUAAACUUAGCAAAUAGAACCUGUCGUUUGUCAUACACAGAAAUCUG
rnacentral:lncRNA from 1 species